GAUGGUUCGCUUUAAACCGUAGCAUCCUUCCAAACUAAGGUACUCGAGAACAGGGCUGCCAUUCGACAUCUCAUGCAUCACCUCCGAGUCACAGACGGACAGGGACCUAACAUUAAUCCAAGCGAUACUUCUACUCAACGAGAAGCAACAGAGCCCUGAGUGCAGGUUCACCAAACGAAGAGCAUCCUUAAAAGGAGCCCCGGUACCGCGAAAUGGCCGGCCAUCUCGUACGACCUCUUAGUCGCAUCGACUGAGAGGUCCUUGGCACGGCGGUCGACAGCAAAGCGAAGCCACGGACUGAGCUCAAGCGCGCAACGGUCGAAAAAAUCGGCGUCGAUGUAGAACUUCCUCACCUUGGGCGACGCCUAGAGGAUCAAGACACCGUCCACGGACGGGGAGGCGUUCCGCCAGGGGAAGGAGAAGACGAGGUCCGGGGGCGGCGGUCCAGACGGAUCGCCACCGCUUCGACAAAAACGCACGUGGGGAUAAUGCGUGCGAGGUAGGGGUGUGCAUGGUCCGGGCGGGCGGUCCGGUUCCCGGGUGGAUCAUGGAACCGAUCUUGACGUGAAUUUUUUUUAGUUUUCAACGUAAAACGGUCGCGAAACAAUUUUGGUUUCCCGGACCACCGGUCCGGUCCGGUUCCCAAGUUUUGAGCUCUAAAAUUCUAAGUUCCAAUCUCCAAAAACUAAAACAAUAAUUAAUAGACGAAUGCUCAACAUUAAAUAACAGUCAACUACACGUGAAUGAGGAAGAGGAGGAGGAGCGGUGGCGGCGUGGAUGCUCGGCGAGGAAUCGAAGACGAAGAGAAGAGACUGAGAAAGAAACAGAGAGAGAAUUGAAGAUUGAGGAAGAAACCGGAAGAGAUAAGACGCGAAUUAGGGCUUCGUAACUUUCAUUUAGUAUUUUUUUUAUUAUUAUAAAUAGGUACCGGUCCGGUCCGAGUGGGUGGGCGGGCGGUUCCGCCCACGGAACUGGGAACCGGACCGGUUCUCAACAAUUGGAACCGGGAACCGGACCGGUUCCCUCAAGAACCGCCGGUUCCGGGCGGUUCCGGUCCGGUUCCGGGUGGUCCAGGCGGUUCCUGGGUAUUUUGCACACCCCUAGUGCGAGGUCGAGGGACGAGAAGAUGUGGUGGAUCACCGAGUCAGGGGCAAGGUGGCUGGUGCGAUCGGCAUCGUCGCCUAGGGUUUCGCAUCGACGGGAGGAGGAGGAGGAGGAGGAGGAGGAGGUAGGCGAUCGCUUCGUCUUCGCCAUGUGGGGAUCGACGAUCGAACGGAGGAACCGGAAGGAGAGCCUCCUCCGAUUUGAGGGUUCAUUUCACUCGGGACUUAAGCUUCUGGCUUCCCUUAUAGAGACACGUGUCGCUCGAUGGAGAGGCAAGGCAACCACUUUCCCGCGCCUUUUAAUACGUCUACGAGCCCAUGAUGAUGGGCCUCGCACGUCUUGAAUUGCCGAGUACCGAACCUUAAUUCUUUUAAUCCGAGCUUGUCCAACAUCGGAAAAAAUCAUCAUUCAUAUAAUAAUAGAGUGUGAACAAGGUCGAGUAGGCAUACAUAAGCGAGCUUGAGCCCGCGAAAGAAAAUGUUUGCUUGAUUCCGCUUGAUUUUUGAUAUUACGCUCGGGGACUCCACUUAUAUAGUGAUAGAUAGUGAAACUUUACAAAUAUCUAUAAAAAAAAAAACAGAUAAAAUAAAAAUUAAUCAUAACUAACUUUUAUCAGAUAAUUUGUUUAUCUUAAAUUACAUUCAUGAUCAAGUAUGAUAUUUCAUGAGCUUGAAAAAUUGUCAAUGAAUGCUUCAACAUCUUGAAUUACAUCGGCUUGAAUGCAAGAAAUGACAACCCAAGCAAUUCAUAAAUCUCACCACUCUGAUGGACAUGUUCUCUUAUUUUCAAAUUGGCUAACAAGAAUGCAACUAGAGAAAACUUUCCUCGCCUCACCAUCCUCCCAAAUGCAAGGCUAUUGGCAUCCACAUUGUGUGUCGCCAUUUAGAUGGCGACUCCAUGAUUCUACUAAUUAAGGUUAUUGAGCUUAUGGCUUGAGUUCUAGCCAAAUCGAAUUUAUGUCAGAGCCAAAAAAUNNNNNNNNNNNNNNNNNNNNNNNNNNNNNNNNNNNNNNNNNNNNNNNNNNNNNNNNNNNNNNNNNNNNNNNNNNNNNNNNNNNNNNNNNNNNNNNNNNNNNNNNNNNNNNNNNNNNNNNNNNNNNNNNNNNNNNNNNNNNNNNNNNNNNNNNNNNNNNNNNNNNNNNNNNNNNNNNNNNNNNNNNNNNNNNNNNNNNNNNNNNNNNNCCAAAUAUGUUCUCCAAUGCAAAACUUGGAAAUUCGAUCUUCAUGAAUAUAGAAUUUUUUGAUUUGGGUGGAAUAGGUUGAUUUGUCCUUCCUAUUGAAAAAAAUUAGAGGUAUUCAUAACAUUUUGAAAGUGGAAAACAAAUCAAAUCAAAGCUGAGAAUGGCAUUUGCUUGGCUUCGGAAGAUACCAUGAAAAGAGGUCCAGGAAGAUUCUACUAAGCAAAAAUCCGAACAUUGUUCGGUGCAGGUAAAGUGCAAAUAGCAUUGGUAAAUAUCAAAACUAGUUGACAACUAAAUUUUGAAUGAUAACUUAUUCGGUUGGUAGCAUUUUGGUAAGUUACCAAAAUUUUUCAGAAAAUAUCAACAAUUAUUAGAACCUUUUUUUAAAAUAUAUAUUACUAUUGACAUCCAAAUAAUCUCGAUGGUUAAAGUUAGAAAAAUUCAAGAUUCAAGAUCUCAAUCAUGGCAACACUCAUUUCUUAACUUGAAAAAAAAUUAGAUUUGUAUCAGUAGUACUUUAAUUGUAUAUAGGUGUUAAUUCAACAUAAGCGUGUAGGAAUAGGCGUUUAGAUUUCAAGUUUUCAUAGAAAUGGCUUAAAAUCCUUUUUUUUUGGUCAAAUCAAAGAAUCUACCUUUGACUGAAAAAAAAAAAUAUUUCAAUAGUUUUUAAUUUUUUUUAGACAUUUUAUUUAGAAAUAGUGAAAUUUAAGUACCUACAAUCAAAUCAAAGAAAUAUCAAUUUCAAGAAUCGAUUAAUCAAUUAGAACACCAUAUUUGUUAUCAUGGAAUUUGAGCUCACACCUUUCAAGAUCGCGUCACAUGGCGCAAUUGCACAAAACUCUGUUGGAGAAUAAAAUCUGUUCUUUUCUCAUCUUGGAAGGGGUCCUUUUUUUUCUUCUUCUUUUGGCUUCUUUUUAUGUUCAAGAGGGAGGCGCCACAAGUUAAAAAAAAAAAGGGAGAAAAGAGAGAAAAAUAAGGAGGAUUGACUCUCCAUGAGUGCUGUGUAUACACCUUCACCGUCGCCCCAUCACAUCCGACCUCAUCCUCGUCACCGCAAGCUGCAUCCAUUGUUCUUGGACUUCAUUCUCUUGAGGAGUUGGAGCAAUAGUCGCCGCUACCCAUUCCGACGAUUGAAACCCACGCCAUCACUUCGAUGAGCCUCUUCAUCGCUCCUCUCGACUCCAUUAGUUGCCAAGCCAGUUGCCCUCACUAUUCCCGAGCCGCCCUUUCCUGCUCCACUAUUGCUCCCUGCCUUCCCAUCGUGAAAACCGAAGAGCCCAGAUCUCGUUCGAAGACUCCCUCACUGGUCGUUGUUCUGUUCGUAGAUAGUUGUAAAGGUUCCAAUCGCCGGUUGCGAGUGCCUAUCGUAGCCUACUUACACCACUGAUAAACUAGGCUUUCCUGCUGCCUUCAAUGAUGGUCAUCGAUGAGGAGCCACUCAAAACCUGACGGUCCGAGGGUUAAUUUUUGAGCUUGAAUAUUCCGGUUGGUUUAUCCGAUUCUACCUCCACUUUUGUUACUUACUUUUUGUGGAUGCAAUGGCCAGCGCAAUGGUUAGUCGAUGGUAGGAGACGGUGGUUCGGCGAAGAGCGGGAAUGAGUAACAGUGGUAUAGGAGUACUUUUGAGUGUGAGAUUUUGAAUGUUUCCUCCUGGUUCGGGGAAGCUUUAGAUAGCAUGAAGAUGCACCGUGAAAAGUCAUUGAAGGUGGGAGUUCUGGGAAUAGGGAGCCAAGCCUCGAAGAUGAGAUGAGGGGUGAAAAGGCGAGAAAAGGCUAAAAUGAUGAUGACAUGUCCGGUGGGGUGAGGCCCCAUACGGGGACGAGGUGGCGUUGUGGAGGGCCGGUCUUUUCCUCCGUUCCCGUCAUCCAACCCUCUCUUUUGCUAAAUUAGUAAUUGCUAAUUGCAAUGGGGAUUUAAAAAUUAGUUCCCUGGAAUGUUCUAAAUUCUCGAGGAGAGGAUGGUAUCCCUACUGCCGGAUUGCCAAUGCUGUUUCAUGGUAACGAUUUCCAGAAUGUUCCAAAUUCUCGAGGAGACGAUGGUAUCCCCACUACCGGAUUGCCAAUGCUGUUUCAUGGUAACGAUUUCCAGAAUGCCAUGUGGAGCGAUACGAUCCAUUCUUCGAGCCAAACGGACUAUACCGGGGGCGGGAGUGUCCUCGACUCUGAACCUCCCUGUGCCUCGACAUCAAGCUUCCAGUCUUGGAGUCCACUUCCUCAUCCUGAAGGCAAUCCCAUGAUGGGAGAUUCCCUAGCAAUUUAUUUAGAUGACAUUUUGGAAUGUGAUGACUUGUCAGAUCCCACAAUUCGAUGAUGAUUGUUCUGUUAGAGGUACCAGGAACGGUGGUGUUAAGUCUGAAAUUUAGCCCAAUUCUCUUUCUUCCUCAUAUCUGCAACUUUUCUCCGCGAAUUCUCAGACUCCGCUGGACCUCGCAAGCCUCCCUCCAUUGAAGCUCCAUCCAUCACAAGCUCACCAUGGGUUUGCAUUUCCCAUUGAUGCUUCUGUACCCUCCUCGCGUUUUGUCACAGCAGAGCUGGUGGCUGCAUUUUCGGCUGCUAGUGGCGUGUGCUUCUGUUUCAGCUUCAGUUCGACAAACUGCUUUGGCUUCUCAGGUUCUACUUCCAUUCGGCGUUCUUUCGUGAUCUAAUGGGUGGGUCAAAUCGAUUGUUCCGACUCGGUUUUGUGAGGUUUUGGCUCUAUUUCUUCCAAUUGGCAGUUGAAGAUGAUGGAGUGGAAUCCGGAGAAGGAUUUGCUGGCGAUAGUCACAGAGGACUCGAAGGUGGUCGGUUCUUCGCUUCGAUUGGCAGGCGCUGUAAACAAUCUCUCCUGAGUAUAGCUGAGACUAGAGAAACUUUAUUUAUUUAUUUAUUUAUUUAUCUAUUCAUUCAUUCAUUUAUUCAGGGUGUUGGAUUCAUUCAUUCAUUCAGGGUGUUGGUUUCUUCAACGAUGGGCAUUUGUGCUUCAGUAUAUUUGGUGUCUUUCCAAUCGGACAUAUCAUAAGCAUCCCGUGUGUUGAAAUCAAAUAUUUAGCAGUAUGGUAUAUUGGAUACAGCCGACACUUCAUUCUUUCCUUGUUCUGGCUUCUCAUUCAGCACUUUUUCUUAAUAAAUCAGUAUUGCCUGGAAAGUAAUAGGCUGAUUAAGUAAACAAUUAUACCAGGAAUGCUUGUGAAAGUUUCAGAUGUUUAUGCCAUUUCACAGGCUAGAUUUCACAUUCGUUGGUCGAUGACACCCUUCCAACUUGGAUACAGAACAAUUAUCUUAUUUUUGUUUGGCCUGAGGUUAGCCUGCCUUACCUACUUGCUCUACUCUAGGCUAUCGGGUUUCUGCUCUGUUCUAUGAAGAUUUCCAAUCAAUUCUCCAGGCUUGAUUUGAUUCGUCCUUAAUGUUGUACUAGGUAAGAUGAUUAUCCGUUUACUGAUAAAAUUCUUGGUAUUCUUUUCUUAGAUGAGGGCAUAUGAGUUACUCAUCUGUAUUCGGUUAUUCAUUCGUGUAUAGAACAUAUUUGUUUAAAGGCCUUCUUAAACGAAUAAACUUUUUCAUCAGCUCUUUUAAAUUUAGUUACUCUCUCUACUUUCUUAAAUCAAGCUUUACUACAUGAAUAACAUAUUAGGAGCUAAUAAAAACAUGCAAAUCGUUUGCAUUUAUGGUAGUGAGAACUCUGGUUCCUUUGAUUUGAUGAUCCUCUUUGAUCAAAGAUGUUAUGUACGCAUUUGGAAUUUGAUAUUAUUGCCAAGAGAUAAUGAUUUUAGGCUAGUAUCGAUUGAUGUAUGUGAACGUGGAUGUUCAUGGGCAGUGGAUCUUCUGGUUUGGACCAUUUGUAGGGGCACUAGCAGCUACAGUACCAUCAGCAAGUCAAGGCCCUCAAAGCAACUGCCGUCAAGGCCCUCAGCGGCAACCCUGCCCACUAAAAUCUUUCCCUUUUUCUUUUUUGCAUUUUUAUGCCCAUUUUCUAUUUUUGUGAACGAGAGACAACUAUGACGAUAGAUGGUGAUGGUGGUGAUGACGGAACCCCUCUUGAUUUAUAGAUUUAUUGAUCCCAUUUAUCAUUAUUAUUGCUGUCGUUACUGUUCAAUGAUUAGUGGUGGAAGUAUUUCCUUUUCUUUCGUAUUCUAUCUCCCUGUGAUCACGUGCGCUCCUGUCAAAACCAACCCAACAACCCCAAUCAAGUCGAGUGUAGAGACUGUGGCAGACAUAAACCCUACAUCCAGGACUCCUAACGAUGAGCAAAUAUUCGGUAUAAAACUAGAAUUGGACCUGGAACAUGCGUGAUCAGCACGAGGAUGAACAUUCCGUGCGUCUCUAAGGAAACACACCUGGUACUAACAGGAUGAGCAAAAAGUUGCUCGAACUAUAUAAUAAUAUUGAUGUGGUUUUGAGUCGGCGUCCUUCUAUCGUCGGAUGUAACAUUACAGUGUCUCGACUGAGGGCUGAAUCCCGACUAAUCCUGGCAAAAAGCCAGGGUGACAAGAGGGGGGUGGGGGAAAGAGGUGAGGCGACAAGUGCUGCGUCGAUCUACUUUCGGACUCAAAAUUGCAUCUAGCCAAUAGCACGUCCAAGUAGACAGAGAAAAUAUGAGAAAAUAUUGGAUAGAGCUAUUGUUCGGGCAAAAUGUGAAAAUGUUUAGGACUUAAUUGAUAUAAUUAAAAGGUUCAGGAUUAAAUUAAUACAAAUGCAAUAAGUUUAGGAUUAUUAUUAUUAUUAUUAUUAUUAUUUGAUAAUUUUCCCGUCAAUGCCAUGGUUCAUACAAUUCGACAUUCUGACCACUACAUGUAAAACAGGUCAAUCAAAUGAUGAAAUUUGACUUACGGAUCAAUAAUAUCACACUAAUUCAGCUCUUUUCCUCUCCUUACUCAGAUCUUACUAUUGCUUAAAAAUAACAAAAAUUCAACGACGGUUAUAGCGUAUAAUAUAUGGUCAUAAAAUCCCAUAGAGUUGCCUCCAGAAAAUUUUGCAAGCUAGGCAUUCAGAAUGCUACACAUAAAUUUACGAUGUCAUGAUGCUUCACUUGUAAUCAAAUUACAUUAUCUAAUUCUUCGUUGAGUGAAGGUGUCAAAAAUUGGCUUAUGGGGAGCGAGAUUUCGAGUACAUUUGACUUUUACAUUUAAUUCCAAGUUUUGAUAACGAUGUAUUUAGUAAUAACAACUCGAUUGAUUAAUACAUAAUACGAAAGAAAAUCAUGAUAUUCAUGAAAAUGUAAUAUUCAAUCAAAACCUUAUAAAUUAGAAAGACCAUAUAUAUGUGAAAAAUGAAAAUGCAUUAACUUAGAAUUUAAUAAAAGGAAGCAUCGAUGGCUAAAAACAAUGUAGAAGAAUGACUUCAGGAUUAGGGCAUGGGACGACUCAAAUAGGUGUUCAACGGUUGGAUUAUCGUACUUCCAAAUAAUAUUGAAAAUACUAGGUAUGUAGGAUUAUUGCUCUAGAUCCCUCCUUGACUUUAUCUUCUUUUAAUCAAGCUCAUGAGAUAUAUCAUGAUUUUAAGAAAUAUUGAAUGUUUCUGUUACUUUUUUGAAAUUACUAGGAUAGUGAAUGUUAUGAAACAAUAGUUGUAUGGACAUCGAAAAUUUUUCUAGUUGAUUUGAUUUGUUCAAAUAAAUAUUGGUGGUAUGAAAUUCUGAUUCGUAGCCUGUCAAAUGUUAGUGAUAUCACUGAAGAAAAUAGACUAGAGCAAUCGAAAAUUGAAAAAAAAAAUCUAAUUUCUAUCUGUUUUAUGCAAAAUGGACGAAUUUCCUGUAAAAUAAUAAUAAUAAUAAUAAUAACAACAAUAGCAACAGUAGCAACAACAAAAAUAAUUAUAAUUGAGCAUCUUUGGAUGUUUCAAGGCUUUGAGUAAUUUUUGGACCAUUGGGUUUACUUAUCGGGCCCAUGGAUCCAAAAUCGAGUAUCAAAGGGCAUUCACAUAAAUUUCGUCCUAAACGGGCUUCUUGGCCCAAGUGAGUUCAGCCGCUAUUUCUGUGGGUGCAAUUUCUGAUAAAGGGCUGAAACUUGCAUCGCAUUGUUACUAAGAGGUAAAAUUAUUUGGUUAUAAUAUUGGAUUGGGUAUUGGAUUUUGGAUAUACAUUGAAAAUGAUUAUGUAGGUGAACUAUUUCAAAUCACUUAUUGGUAUGUUGGAUAUCAUGUAUUGAUAUUGAAUUGAUGCACAUGGUCAACCUAUGCAUUGAGAGAUGAUAUAUAUUUCUAAAAUCGGUUCGAUUUUGGGGCUCAGCCACAAGUGAAAUGUUUUCUAGGGCUUAACUACAAGGGGCGUGGUUCUCUAGAUCUUGUAACCUACCAAAGUGUGGCCAUAGUGUUCCGAAAUGAGCAACUGGUCUAGUAUCUUUAUGCUGAGUAUUUCAAUGAUGUAUGAUGUGCGUGAUUUAACUACGGUGUUUUUGUUAAUGUGCCGCAUAAUCAUUCGCUACUCAAUUUCAUUGAAGUGGUGAUUGUUACCGCUGUAGUCAUAAUUUUGCUCACCCCUUUCGAUAUCAUUUCAGGUUGUGAGUAAAGAUACUUGAUUGAGUCACAUAAAGAGCAAUAUGAAAUGGCGUGGAACUCUAAUUAAGACUUUUUUUCUUCUUUUUUUUGUGGGUCAAAAUAAUUUAGAUCGCUUGAGUAAGGGCUAUCAUGAAACUCUCAUUUGGAUUAAUUUACGACACUCUGAACUUUGUUAACAUAUUCAUUCGGUGAAAGGUAGCUAUUAGGGGUGAGCAGCGGUCUAGGGUCGACCCUGGACCGACCCUGGACUGACCCAACCCUGCCGGUCCUGGUCCGGUUCCCAAGAGGACUGGAUCGGUCAUUGGUCCUGAAAUUCCAAGACCAACACUGUGCGGGUUAGUUCUCGGUCCUAAGAGUUUUGGGUCGGUCCAACCCUGGACCAACUCUGUAUAGUAUAUUAUAUUAUAUUAUAUUAUAUUAUUUUAUUUAUAAUUCUUUUAUAUAUUCAAAUCUAAGUAAAAUGUCUGUUAUAUUAUAUUAUAUUGAGAUGUUCUAUCAAUAUCACUAAUAGUAAUUUCAAUUUAAAACUUUUGUUGAGUAUUAAUUAUAUGUCGUUUGUUUUGUUUUCAGGUGUUUAGAAGUUCAAGUGAAUUAAUAAGAUGUGAAGUUAUAUAUAUUCAUGGUUUAUAUUAAGUAUUUUGAACUUUUUAUGAUUUAAUUGUAUUUUACUAAUGAAUUUCAACUGCACUUUGCUUUUCGAUUUGUGUCAAAUGGUAGAAGUUUUUGAAGAGUAGAGUAGUACUGCAUUUGCUAUGGUGAUUUGCUAGUCAAGUGGUGUGAAGUUCAUUUUUUUGUUGAGUGGACUCUAUAUGAUCAAAUGCAGGAAAACGCUUUUGUAUAUGAUGUUAUGAAUAUUAAAGAUAGAUGAUUACAAGAACUUUCCAUCUUGUUCCAUAUCUCGAUGAGCGGUUAGUAGGUACGAAAUUUCUAUUAUUGUGUCAUCUUAAAUUUGCUAAAUAUGUAUUGGUAUUUAUAGUUUAGUUACAUAAUGUCGCAUUGUCGAUGGAUGUAUAAUUUGAAUUUUUAGGUUUGCUUUUUUAGGGAGUAUAAAAAAUAAGACGAAAAAAAAUUAUCGAUCGGUCCCGGGUUGACCAUGGAACCGGACCAAACCCAUUAGGUCGGUCCGGUCCUUGGUCCCAAGCUCAAUAGGGUCGGUCAUCGGUCCUAAAAAUUGAGGACCGACACUGUACGGGUUGGUCCUAGGGUUAGGGGGUGGCCCGGACCAACCCGAACCAUGCUCACCCCUAGUAGCUAUCAUCGGUUGAAGGUUUUGUCCUUUAUUUUAUAGGGAAUAUUCGGUCAUUCCCUAGAUUCUAAGUUCGGAUUUGGAGCCUGGCAGUAGGUGACAUUCGCGCACGCACAUUUAUUGCGAGAUGGAAAAGUAGUCAAUGUUGAAAAGUCGACCAAACAAAAAAAAAAUAUUAAAGCAAUAGCAUCCAUAGCAACCUAAACUCUAGAUUUUAGCCAGUUUUAACUUUAGCCUCCCUUGAUUUUUUUUCUUUUUUUUUUUGAGUCGAAUGGCCUCCCUUGUUUUUUUUUUGUCAAUUCUACUCUAUUCCUACUCUACACUCACUCUCAGACUUUUGCCCUACCUCUUGCAGGGUGUGGGAGUCGAAACCCACUCCUGAAACUUACGCGUCCCCACCCCAUCCCCCCUUGAGAAGGUGGGGAUUUGAACCCCUCACCUCCCCCUUCCAUGUUAGAAGGGUGGUCACUGGGGUGAAUCCAGUGGUUGAAUGGCCUCCCAUGUUUAGCCGCCUGGAAUUGCCCUUGUUUGUUUACGUGGGUCGAGAGUGUAUUAAUAAACUUAUAUUAUCGAAAAAGAAAAAUUCAUAAUUUCCUCUUUUAGAAAACAGACAAAAUAAAUAAAAUAUUAGAGCACCGUGAGAGCACCGUGAGAGAUUAUAGAAGGAAUUCCUCCGAGCCAAAUUACUAGUAAUAGUGCUUGUAAGCACAUCUUCUAUUGGAUGAUGGGCACAACUUCAAUUUUGAAUAAAUUUUGGGACUUUAUUGAGAUAUUUCCGCGUCACCUGCCAACGUCACCGUAUUAGGGAAACGCGUCAGAGGUUAAAGCUUGAACUGCAAGAUUGGCCACGUACACCAGAAAGCCAAGCAGCCUUCAGAGUUGACAAAAUCCCCACUUCACUCGGUUUGGUUUGCAUAUGUUUAAUUUGAUCACUCCACCACCUUAUGCUAAUCCACUCGCAUUCUUUGUCUUAUUAUAAUUUGGGUUAUAAGGAAAAACCCAAAAUUAAUAUACCUUUAAUAAAUUAAUUCUAUACUAAUUUUUUGAUCACUACAAAUCCAAAACUGAUAUGAUAGAUUUAUCAUAAUUUAAUUUUUUUAAUCAUAAAAAAUAUUAAACUGAUAUAUUUGUGAUAAAUUUACUCUAUGUUAGUUUAUCUUAAAUUGGAUUAAUACUACAGAAAAUCCAAAUUGAUACAUUUGUGACGAACGGACGGCAUGUGCCAUCCAACUCAAUAAUUUGACGAUAAGCUUUAAUAGAAAUUAAUAUAAAGUAAAUUUGUUACACGUAUAGCAAUUUAGGGUUUUGGAGAGUUUAAAAAUCAGUUUGAGUAAACGUGUUACAGUGUACCAAUUCGGAAUUUAUCUUAAUAUUAACUUUUAUUAUUAUUAUUAUUAUUAUUAUUUUCAAUAUUAUAAUAAAAUUGGCCACGUCCAACGUAAAGCCAAGCUUGGAGUUUGGCCUUAUAAUCGCAUGUGAUUAGAAGUGAUUAAUGUUUUUUAGCACUAUAGAUUAUUACAAAUAGAGAUAAGUGCAUUUGAAGUUUUAAAACUUAUCAUGAAAGUGUAAUUGAGUCUUAAGAUUUUUAAAAAAUGCAAUCAAAUUUUAAAAUUUAUCAAAUUAAUGUAAUCAAAUCCUUCUGUUAAUUCCAUUACGAAAAAUGCUGACAUGACAUUCUUUGUUAUUUUCUUCUCCAAAUCUAACUUAAAUUAGAUUUUUUAAAAAUUAAAAACAUAUUAAAAAAAGAAAAAGUGCCCUCACCGGUGGGUCACCAACGCCGAAGAGGGCCGGUGGAGGUCACCGAGGCAGGCUGAAUUUUUUUGGGUCUUACAGGCUGGUGCAGCCAUUUAUUUCAUCCAGAAAGAAAGAAAUAGGGCACUUCAUGGAGGAACAUCUUCUGUUGACGGAAUUAUCAGCAAUGUUCAUUUCUCCAUUAGAGUGCAGAUGUCCUCCUUCAUUAUGUUGAGGAAGAGGGCAUUGCUGCAAGAAGAUGAGGAGUUUCCGGAUGGUAUAAUUGAUCACUCUUGGCAGCUGUGGCGGCCGCGGCGACCCAUCGGCGAGGAUCCUAUGGCUCUUUUUUAAAAUGCAAAAUAAAAUAAAAUAAAAUUUUAGAUUAUUUUAAUCUAAUUUAAGUAAGAUUUGAUGAACAAAAUAAUUAGAAAAAAGGUCACGUAGGAGAGAGAAAAUAAAUAAAAAAAUUUACAUGCCAGCGUUUUUUUUUUUUUUUGGUACCCAGGGAACCUGUGCGCCGCUUCGUGGCGGAGUAAACCCUGUGGUGACCUGGGCCCCCACGGCUGACCCAAAACCACGAAGCUUCGAACUCCUCCCCUAGCGGAUAGGGUACUAAGCACGAAGCCAACGCGGCCACCGCGGGCGGUGGUGACAUGCCAGCGUUUUCUGCUAAAUAGUUUACCAAGUUAAUGGAAAUAGUUGAGUACACUAAUUUGACAAAUUUUAGAGAUUGAUUGUGAUUUUUGAAAAUUUUAGAGCUCAAUUACAUUUUCGCAACAAGUUUUAAGGCUCCCAGUACAUCCAUCUUGACACAAAUUCAAGCAUGUCUUCAUUUAUAAAAGACUGUAGGAUAAAUUUACCUCAAAACUCACGCUGAAGGCAAAAAUAGCUUAAUUAUCUAAUAGGCUAAAGCCCGAAAAAGAAGAUAAUAAUAAAAAAAAAAAGAUGCAAUUUCAUAAUAUAAGGGGGCAAAGUGCUAAAAUCUGAGAAAAUUUAGAUUAAAAAAAAAAAAAAGACACUAGCCGGUAACGUUUCGGGGAAAUGCAUCAAGUCACAUUUCGCGGAAAGUUAUGUGCUGCAGGAUGUAUACAAAAAGAAGACGCACUGCCAAUGAUUACAAGAGAGUUUGGGUUCGUUGAUGAACUGCCUUCCCUGUCUGAUUCUCUGUCUGCUGCAGUUCUUCAGCAACCAAACUCUAGACACCUGCUUAGUUCUUGUUAAGCUUCACAGAAGAACAGGAAAACCAUGUCGAUGCAGAAGAGAGCUUUGCCUUCCUCCUCUUCUUCAGGUCAACCAAGUCAACCCAAGAGGCCAUGCUUGCCUCCAAUCGAGUAAGCUCGCUCUUUCCUCUUAACCUUUCAAUGUUUGAUUCAUUGUUUGAUGAUCUUGCGUUAGUUUUAGCUGUACUUGAGGGAGAUUCAAUGAAGGGUUGUUGAGUUGAAGAUUCUUGAAAUGAGAGAUACGGUGAAAGCCCGCCAUCGAUAAGCUUUUGCCUCAUGACCGUUCGAAAUCGCUUUCGUUCAGUUCUUUGUUGGUGGGUUUGUGCUGUUGUUCUAAUGCGAAGAAUUAAAGACCAUGAAUGUUGUCGUCCCGGCUGUUUUGUGAUUUCGCGUUUGGCAAUCGCAGUACUUCCUCCUGAAUCUAGCUGUAUUCUUGGUAGAAUCAUUUGCCUGGCAAGUGAGCUGUUAUCUUUACCAGGUUACUUUGCUAUCCUGUAGUCUAAAAUAUCCUAUCUCGCUUUUAAUUUUGUGCUGAUGUUCAUGCAGUCAAGCAUGGAAUGGGUCUGAGACGAAUCUCAUGCCAUGUCGCUGUUUGACAAAGGAGGAUGUGUGGAGUGUGGUAAGAUGAGUAAAGUAGCCAACUAGAUCAUGCAAAGUGCAGUCCUUAUUAUAUUUCAAUUCCUGAUCUCUUUUGAGUUGAGCAGUUAGAUGAAUUUCUAACAUUCCAGUCAGUUUCUGGAUGGAAAUCCGUAUGAGAAAUAGCUGUGAGAUGUAUAGAGAAUUAUUCUUUGUGUGGUAAAAAUGACCCGUUGAAUAUUCUAGGCUUUUCAUGUGAAGCAAUUGCACUGAGAACAUGCUUUAGGCUUUUCAUGUUGUUUUGGAUAGUAUGAAUCACAAAAAGAUCCAAAUUUUCAAUGAAGUGCCCUGGACAUAACUGUCGCCAUGAAUCUUGGAAAUGUGGUCGAUAUUAAUUUAAAUGUAGAAGGAGGACAAAGAAGAUGCCUGUGAUGUGAAACUUGAAUGCAAUGAUUACAUGACAGAUGAUUCUUGCAACGUAAUUCUUUGCUAUCACUCUUUGCUAAACAGGUUAGAGAAGUGCUGGAGCGGGCUAAGUCUCACUCGCCUGAAUGUCAAAGGUGAAUAUAUUUCUUGGGUUCACUGGCAGUAUCUUAUCUGCAUCAAUCGAUUCCUCCAGUAGAAUUUCCAUUUGUGUUGUCUCGCCAUAUGAAAAUAUCAUCAGAUUCUCAUAUGCCAUCAAUCCAUGAUUCUUUUAGGCAAAGGGGAAUACCUGCAGACACUUUUUUUUGUUAAUCACUGAAAAGACUCUGCAGUUGUAGAUAGCUGCUAAUUAACUUUACUGGCUUCUUUUAUAACUGUACUGGAUAAAUACGUAUUCCAGCUUCAUGUCAAAUUUUUUUUUUUUUUAGUGUAGUAUCUAUGUUUUUAUCCUGUAAUUAGGUCUGACAUUUAUUUGGACUAGUGAAUAAUAUGUUACAUAUGGAUAUUUGUCUAUUGGUUACGAAUGAGUCCGCUAGACAGCAUUUAUUCAGAGUGUAAUUUACAUGUGUAGUUGCACUGGGCAUGCUCUUGAAGUGGUUGCGCAACGGUUGCACUCAAUAGAGUAUGCUGUUCAGAAACUGGUAAGAUAAACAGAGUCUAUAAAUUUAUUGGUUUGUCUCUGUCAUAUCCCUUCUGCUUCAUUUUUUGGAUGUCUCCAACUUUGGCAAUUCUACUGUUGGUGGUUUUGAACAGAUGGAAGCAGUGGAGCUUGGAAACAUUCAUUCUCCCCAACUUGCGAGGUAUGAAUGCACUUCCCUCGUGAUGCUGUUGAGAAAGGCUUUCUGUGUAGUGUUGACGGGUUAUGCAUUGUUGAUGUUUUGGGGAAUAAUGGUCCGACCUACCGCUACCAUCCCAAGCAGGCAGUCUGAGCUCUCAGUGAGUGUCAGGCCACAAUGACUCGGUCGUGCACAAAAGUGUCAAUGCUCAAUUUAGAACAUAAUUUUUGUGGCAUGCGAGCAGUGGAACAUUUUAUUUUAUUUUACUUCAUUUUUUUUUAAAUGUGCAUUAUUAAACAAAUAAAAUGAUGGGUCUAAUUAUCCUUGUAGUAAGACCUGUCCAAGUGAGAUGUUGGGUAUUUUGUCUCUCUUCGUCGUUACUUCUCCAAUUUUCUGUUUUUAUACACAUUCCUAUUUCUGAUAGUUAUUUUCUGGAGAGAAUGCAGGGCUAAUGCUAAUUCUACGGGAGAGAAUGAUGUAAGAAACUUACAGCUUCAAGUUCAAACCAAACUGUCAGAUUCUCUAUUUACUGGACAGAAGCUAGAAGGAGAGGGGGGUGCUCGCAUUUCUGUUGCCUUGAUCAAUACAAAUACAGGGGAUGUUGUUAGAUCAGGCCUGGAAUCCUCCAUUAAGUUGGACGUCGUCGUGCUUGAAGGUGACUUCCACAAAGAUGAUGAGGAUAACUGGACCCAAGAAGAGUUUGAGAGCCACGUGGUUAAACAACGUGAAGGAAAGAGGCCGCUUUUGGCUGGAGAUCUCGUAGUGAAGCUCAAGGAAGGUGUUGGGGAGAUGGGAGAACUGAUAUUUACUGACAAUUCCAGUUGGGAUAGGAGUAAAAGAUUCAGAAUAGGGCUUAAGGUGGCAACGGGUGGUUGUGGGAACACACGAAUCCGAGAAGCAAAAACAGACGCCUUCCAAGUCAAGGAACAUAGAGGGGAAGGUAGGUCCUUCAUAGUCUUUCUACAGUAUAUAAACCUUAUCCUUUAUGACUGAACAUAAACAUGAUUUUGGACAUCCAGAGUCUUCAAUUUUUUAAUUUGGAGCUUCAUUUCGUGUGGACCUUUACAACUCGAACAAAGAUUUUGAGCAAUUCAGAAUAUUUCCCAAGAGAGACUAGAGAAAAACACGUCCUGAUGAUAAAUGAAUGUUUCAGGAGGAAUAUCUAGUUGAGAAGUAAUGAGGGUAACGUUCAAGUAACAACAUAGAAAACUCACUUCGACAUCAUGCGGUAAAACUGUACCGUCUUCAAGUCCCAAGAGAACAACCUUGCCAUCAGGACACCGGCAUAAUGAUGUUAUACAUUUACCUGGAGCAGAUUAGAAUAAUGAUUAAGAGAAGCUAGUAUUGACGACACACAUUGAAAUGUGCAAAGAAAGUGAAUUCAUUGUAAACGAGAGAGAGAGAGAGAGAGAGAGAGAGAGAGAGAGAGAGAGAGAGAGAGAGAGAGAGAGAGAGAGAGAGAGAGAGAGCAAAGAAAGUGAAUUCAUUGUAAACGAGAGAGAGAGAGAGAGAGAGAGAGAGAGAGAGAGAGAGAGAGAGUAUUUUAUCCCAAUAAAAUUAAUAGAAGAAGAGGAAAGAUAGAGGACAGACAUUAACCAACAAAAUGUUAAUCAAAAUUUAUGAAGUGAGGGAAAAAUGUAAUAAAUGUACAAAAUAGCUGAGAGGGAUAUUAGUCACUCGAUAUGGGAUUUCUUUGAGCUAGUAGGUCAUCUAAAGCAAGGGAGUCUAUAUCUUGUUGGCAGCCUCCACAUCCAAUAUCAUCAUAAAACAAACCUUUUUGUUCAAUUAUGGAACCUCAAGGUGAAGUGGUUGCACGAAAAAUUACUUCAGGCGAGGAUUACAAGUGUAAUAGUAUUUACAACUUAGGAUCUUAAGAGAAACCAUUCAAGGAUUGGCUCUAGUACUAUAGUGCACUCAAAACAUUCUCCAUAUCCAGAAGACAAUAUGAUGAGCGAAGCAUUGAGAUGUUUCCAGAGAAAAAAUCUCCUCUCCAAAUUUUUCCGGUGAGAAUAGACAUGAAGGACUACCAAGGCUAGGCAUCUAACUAAGUUCUUACAACUUUGAAUUACGAAAAGAUUAAGUCAUAUAGGAACCCAACAUACUUGGAUGUAGCUCCCCUGACCCUCCUAGUCCUUUUGCUUUCUCCAAUUUCUCCGAAAGAACGCCGAGCAAGAGCCGAACCUGAGAAGCCAGGCGGUUUGUCGAACUGAAGCUGAAACAGAAGCACACGCCGCGACCCUGCCUCGUCUCCAUAGCUAGAAAGCUCUGCUGGAGAAGUUGAAGAGCGAGACAAAGAAGGGAAGAGCGGGAGCGAGGUCCAUUGAAGCCUGAAAAUUCGCGGAGAAAGUUGCAGAAGGGGAACAAACGAGAGUCAAAAUAAGGAAGGAAGAGAGAGAUGGGAAUUGGGCCGUAAAAGGCCGCCACGGGAUCAACUAGGCUGGGCCGGACUUUGUAGCCCUGCCAAACAACGCCCGAAAGUGGUGGAUUAGUUAUUGACACGUAAUUUGGAAAAAGCAAUGUGAUCAUCCUCAUUUACUUUUGGAUUAAAAAAUGCUAAUGAAUUAUUCAAAUCGCAUCUCAUCAUCAAUAACAAAAAUUCACGCAUGCUUAAAUGGAGAUGAUGGGCCAAGCUUGAAUCCGACCAAGCCAUUUGCCAUCACCACCCAAGCUCUUAACGCUCGACCGAAUACAAAUACUCGACCAAGCCCCAAUUGGUGAGUUUUAUGCUAAACUCCUGUUAUAAGGUGCACACGUGCGUCAAUGAUACAGUAGGAAGAAAAAAAAGAGAUCUAAUGUCUUCUUUUUCUCUUUUAACAAAAUUAGACAAUUCACCCUGUUAAAAGGUAUAGCUUUGCUAUAUUAGGAAAAUCCCAUUUCUCUACUCGUGUACCUCUGCCGCAAGUGAUAAAACCUAAGCACAUUCAACAAUUGAAAGGCAAAAGAAUAAGACAGUUUACUCUUCCUUCCAAAUACAGUUUAAAAAACCCGGCAAGUAUAUGCUUUGCGAACACUUUUGGUUCCCACCUAUGUGACAAAUUGAGUGACUAAAGCUUUUGAGUGUUGAAAUAGUAGAACUUAUAUACUAAUUCUAGUCAACAAUUGCUUUUUCGGUCUUUUAAAAAACAGGACACAACAACUUUCCAUUGAUAAUUUACUAUCAUCUUUGGAAUGAUGGUUAUGCACUACUGAGCACAGGAAAUAGAAUGACCCCAAACCAGCUGCUCUUUCUUUGGUCCUUUGGUAGUUAUUCUAAAGGCACGAUGUGUAUUUGCACCAGUGGUCAUCAGAGUAGCAAACGAUGCAAACCAGAUUCCUUGUGCUAAAGUUUGGAAUGAAUUUCCUUAACUUGAGUAAGAGGGAACAUGAAUUAUCCAUAAGUAUGAACCAAAUGGGUUAAAUUUGAAAUAAAAAAACAAUCUGCUCACCUGAAGGCACCAACUACCAAUCAAAAGCUUGGUCACGUUCUGUAGCUUCUGAAGCAGUCCCUCAACCAGGUUGCAAUACCCUCUGUAAGACUCGAACCGAUUUUGAACAAAACAAUCAGUUGGCCUUCCCAAAUCCUUGCCCCUCAUAAAAAUGUUCGAAUUUGCUUCAAUCAAGGAUUGAGACUUCCGUUACCAGCUGCCUCAUCAUACCAGAAAAUCCUCUCAAACAGCAACAGAGGACUCGAAAUCUCCAAGGGAAAACCCUCAUCAAGUGCAUACCGAAAGCAGCUAUUGACCGCAAUUUCCCUCAAAGUUCUCGAACAAACCUUGAUGGUUCGCUUUAAACCGUAGCAUCCUUCCAAACUAAGGUACUCGAGAACAGGGCUGCCAUUCGACAUCUCGUGCAUCACCUCCGAGUCACAGAUGGACAGGGACCUAAGAUCAAUCCAAGUGAUACUUCUACUCAACGAGAAGCAACAGAGCCCCGAGUGCAGGUUCACCAAACGAAGAGCAUCCAUAAAAGGAGCAGCGGUACUGCGAAAUGGCCGGCCAUCUCGCACAACCUCGUAGUCACAUCGACUGAGAGGUCCUUGACGCGGCGGUCGACAGCAAAGCGAAGCCACGGACUGAGCUCAGGCGCGCAACGGUCGAGAAAAUCGGCGUCGACGUGGAACUUCCUCACCUUGGGCGACGCCUAGAGGAUCAAGACGCCGUCCACGGACGGGGAGGAGUUCCGCCAGGGGAGGGAGAGGACGAGGUCCGGGCCGGCGGUCCAGACGGAUCGCCACCGCUUCGACAAAAACGCACGUGCGGACAAUGCGUGCGAGGUCGAGGAACGAGAAGAUGUG
rnacentral:lncRNA from 1 species